AUGUAUGAAUACUCUCUGAACGUGGUCUUUUGUUGUAUUUUGUGUUUAGAUUUUCCCUGUGAAAACAUUAUCAGCGAUCUCGCCUGUUCCGUUGACACGCGGGGAGCGGCAGUGGUCAAAGGUGUGGUUAACGGCUUAGCUCGUCAUCCCAAGCGCUUGGUCACACACUCCUCAAAGUGGCAUCGCCUGAAGGGCACUGAUAACACGCAUUCUGCGCUUCUAUUGGUUGAUGUCCAGAAAACCAGCAAUCUCACACAGAAGAAUCUGUACAUUAGAGGAAAGGAGCUGUGCUGCUUCGCCCUCGACAAGCCAAGCAGAACAACUGGGGGACUUACGACGGACUGAGAAGGGGCCCAUGGAUGGAUUCCAAAGAGGUUAAUGCCACAACAAUGGUAAAUUUUCCACCUAAAUCCAGUUCAUUCUAUAGAUAUUGUGUGGAUUUUUAUUCUAUCAGUGAUUCCUCUCACAUGUGAGCAUAUGACUGGCACGGGGCGAGGGCGUGAACCAAAGCAUUGGUUUAUAGUGUGAAAAACAGUUAAGCAGAAGGCUGGCUUCCCCUAACCUCUGUUUGUUGGUCCUGUGGAGAGAAGCCUGGCCGUAGGGGACGCUAGCUGUGGAAAUGGAUUAUGAUCACUACAGAGAGACCGUGAUACGGUGAAUGUGAUGAAUAAGGUUUGGUUGAGCAGCCAGUGCCAUACUCCUCAGUCUAAAGACAGUAGUGACUUCUCAGCUUUGAUCUGAAUUUUUUUUUUUUUAAUACCAUAAUGUUUUAAAAUAGGUCGCUGUAUGAGAUGCCUAGUAAAGGCAACUGAAAUCACUUAUUGGAUUUAAUCUUACUAUUUAAUAUCCUGUUUUUUUUUUUUUGCAAAUAAUUACUCAUGCGCUUCAGACAUUUGAUACAGAGCUUGGCAUUAAAAUUCAUAAUAUCAUCUUGUCCCCAGCAAGGCAACAUUUGAUAUUACAUUAAAGGCCUAGAGGAAAAACCGUUUGCCAGAAUCUCAUCAAAUCAUAUUUCUAAAAAUAUUGCGGAACAUGUUUCACUCAAAUAUCUGCUGCACAUUUUUUUUAUUUUUUGUUGGUCCAAAAGAGACAAAAAUUCCCCCUGCUAUUUAUUUUCUUUUUUGUGCCCCAGUCUUUUUUUCAAAAUCCUUUAUUGGAUUCCAUGACUCCCUCUCUUUCUCUCUUUAACCGAUUCUCUUGAUAGCAAUUUAAUUUAAUCUGGGGGGCUCCAAGCAGCUACGUCCUUUGAUGUUUCUUUGACAGGCUCUCAUAACACAUCAGAUUUGAUCUAACCUUUCUUGGUGGAUAGAAAGAGAGAAUAAAGAUCAAUUAUUAGGUGAAUUUGAAGUUGCA
ensembl:lncRNA